rnacentral:lncRNA from 1 species
AUCCAUCCUUAUCCCCUCUCCCCGAAAACCCUAGCCUGCGCCCUCUCCCCCGAUACAUCCCUCCCCUCGUCCUCCCAUCGCGCCGCCACCCAACCCGUCCCGCGACCCAGACCCAACCCCACCUGCUCCCCUGAUCCCACCGGUGUGCUCUUCCUCCACAUGGCCAAGGACCCUCCCUCCGCUUCAUCCUCCCCUCGGCCAGAUCUUGUGCGCACGACCUACAACGGCCAUGCACCACCCUCCGAUGGCUAGGGUUUCAGCCUCGUUGUCGCCGGCGAGGCUUCUCUGGUUGUAAACUGUCGUGACAUGGAUGGAUCCGCGACGCGACGGUGAGGGCCUCCCUCCUCUAACCUCCAUCGACGGCCAUGGCUCGGUGAGCUCCCUGUUUGCUGGAUCCAAACCCCUCCGUCAUUCUCUCUCAUUCCCAUGUCCCGCCCUUGGUCCGAUUCGAUUCGACCUGGGGUUGUAGGCGGCCUCCAUAUACAAGGACUGGAGAGGAGGUUGACCAGGACCCCAUGCCCAUGACGCCGAUUGCUCAUCAAGGUCCCAACACAAGGAGAAGCGACCGCAGGUGCAUCUUCAAUCAUUCCCAGCUCAUAUAGAAUCCGCGGCAGCAAUAGCAGCAGAUGCAUCUAUGAAGAUGAGGAGGCAAUGCCAAGCAGCAGCAACAGCAACUCAAGGUCCGGCCUCCUUGCGUGGCACCGAAUGAUGGAUGUACGCCUAGUCUUCCCGGCGAUUUCGUUGUGAAUCUGCAGCCACCGCUCGUUGUAGGUAAUUCAGGUUCACUUCAGUCCGCUGCUAACUGGAUGUUCAGGUUCAAGUCGUCUAUACGUUAGUUAAGCAGUAAAAUCUUCAGGUUCGGGUUCAGUUUAGUCUGUGUUAACUGAAUGUUGAGGUUCAGGUUUCUAAACACACCAUACCAUUGCAGCACAUGCUUAUGUUCCAGAAUUAUUUGCUUGCACAUGCAUGUAUGAUCUAAACAAAUUGCCCAUGAUUUCUAUUGAUUUCAUGCAUUAUGUUCAAACACACACAUACAGAUAGACACACAUUUCUUGGAUGAUUGAUCAUCAGUAAUAUGCUCCUUGGCUGUGUUAGGAAUAAUUUUGCAAGUGAGGAAUGCGAGUAGUGCUGCUGCUUUGCUCCUUUGUUCACUUUGCUAUCGCUUUGGUUCGCCGCUGGAGUAUUAACUUUGUAACUUUAAUAACUAAUUAUUUCAGUUAACUGAAUUCUUUAAUCAUCACAAGCACGAGAUUUUUAGUUAAGUUUACAACAUUUAAUCAUGUGAGUAAAUAUUUUCACUCNNNN